GAAUCUAGAAACUAUUGUAGGUUUUUUAGAGACAAGGUUCCCUCUGAGUUUUUUGAAGAUUUAAGUUCUUAAAACACGGAUCGUCUGGUUGGAGUUUAUGGCUGCUGGAACCUGUGUGUGUUGUUUUGCAGCUGGUGAGAGAGUGUAAGGAGGUCCUGAAGGGCGGCCUGCUGAUGAAGCAGUACUACCAGUUCAUGCUGCAGGAGGUUCUGGAGGACUUGGAGAAGCCCGACUGCAACAUUGACGCUUUUGAAGAGGAUCUACAUAAAAUGCUUAUGGUGUAUUUUGAUUACAUGAGAAGCUGGAUCCAAAUGCUACAGCAAUUACCUCAAGCAUCGCAUAGUUUAAAAAAUCUGUUAGAAGAAGAAUGGAAUUUCACCAAAGAAAUAACUCAUUACAUACGGGGAGGAGAAGCACAGGCCGGGAAGCUUUUCUGUGACAUUGCAGGAAUGCUGCUGAAAUCUACAGGAAGUUUUUUAGAAUUUGGCUUACAGGAGAGCUGUGCUGAAUUUUGGACUAGUGCGGAUGACAGCAGUGCUUCCGACGAAAUCAGGAGGUCUGUUAUAGAGAUCAGUCGAGCCCUGAAGGAGCUCUUCCAUGAAGCCAGAGAAAGGGCUUC
rnacentral:sRNA from 1 species